AUCCAGCUGACUAGUCCUGAAUAGAACGAAAUGCGCGUUAUGCUGGAU
rnacentral:hammerhead_ribozyme from 1 species